rnacentral:rRNA from 1 species
AUUGAACGCUGGCGGCAGGCCUAACACAUGCAAGUCGAGCGCGCGGCGGACGGGUGUGUAAUGUAUGGGGACUGCCUGAUGGCGGGGGAUAACUUCUAGAAACGGUAGCUAAUACCGCAUACCAUACGAUCCCCCAUAUGGGAUUCGAUUGUAGGUGAGGUAACCGCUCCCCUAGGCGACGAUCCCUAGCUGGUCUGAGAGGAUGAUCAGCCACACUGGGACUGAGACACGGCCCAGACUCCUACGGAGGCAGCAGUGGGGAAUAUUGCACAAUGGGCGCAAGCCUGAUGCAGCCAUGCCGCGUGUAUGAAGAAGGCCUUCGGGUUGUAAAGUACUUUCAGUCGGGAGGCGUUACCGACAGAAGAAGCACCGGCUAACUCCGUGCCAGCAGCCGCGGUAAUAC